AAAAAGACAAACUCUGGGUUUCCGUGUCCAACAUUUGACCGUCCGUCUUAUUUGAAAAAAAUAUGAAAAAAAUUAAAAAGACAAGUCACGCAUAAAGUAUUAAUCAUGUUUUAUCAUCUAACAACAAUGAAAAUACUAAUUAUAAAAAAAUUCAUAUAAGACAGACAGUCAAACGUUGGACACGGAAACCCAGGGUUUGUCAUUUU
rnacentral:pre_miRNA from 1 species